AACGAACGCUGGCGGCAUGCCUAACACAUGCAAGUCGAACGAGACCUUCGGGUCUAGUGGCGCACGGGUGCGUAACGCGUGGGAACCUGCCCUUAGGUUCGGAAUAACUCCCCGAAAGGGGUGCUAAUACCGGAUAAUGUCUUCGGACCAAAGAUUUAUCGCCUUUGGAUGGGCCCGCGUUGGAUUAGCUAGUUGGUAGGGUAAAAGCCUACCAAGGCGACGAUCCAUAGCUGGUCUGAGAGGAUGAUCAGCCACACUGGGACUGAGACACGGCCCAGACUCCUACGGGAGGCAGCAGUGGGGAAUAUUGGACAAGGGGCGAAAGCCUGAUCCAGCAAUGCCGCGUGAGUGAUGAAGGCCUUAGGGUUGUAAAGCUCUUUUACCCGGGAUGAUAAUGACAGUACCGGGAGAAUAAGCUCGGGCUAACUCCGUG
rnacentral:rRNA from 1 species